rnacentral:misc_RNA from 1 species
AAGUCGUAACAAGGUAACCGUAGGUGAACCUGCGGUUGGAUCAUUAACAAAAUUUUAAUUAAAGGAUCUUCAUUGGGAUUAAACCUCUCAUUGAAUGAUUUCUUUAAACAACUUUGUGAACUUGUAAUUGUCCCUUCGGUAGAGUUCCUGUUUUUAACUUGAAAAAGAGUUUGUUUUUGUUGGAGUGUUUCAUUUUAUGAAAUGUUCUUUUUUAGCUGACAAUUUUUUUGGUUUUAAGAUAUACUUUACCGAACUUCAUUUUUAAACUAGAUUUUAUUUAACUUAAGCCUUUAGAAAAAUUGUUUAAUGUUUAAUUUUAAAACAACUUUUGACAACGGAUCUCUAGGCUCUC